UUUAUUAUUUUUUAUUUUGAUUUAAAAGCAUGUUUUCAAUAUAAAGUCAUGGAAAAUAUACUUUUAUACCUUAGAGUUCUUACAAUUACAUUGUUUUUAGACAAAUACAAUCCUCCAGCUUCCUGUGGGUUUCAGCGCUCAUGUUAAAGUUCUGUUUGGCUUCUAGUUUGAAUAAAAUUGAAAAGAAAUCAUAAUUUCUGGUUAAAAGGUGACAAAAAAUGUGGAAACCUUUUUAUUUUUGGCAUUUUAUGAUUGUCGAUCUUGUACUAAUUUUUUUAACAGAACCAUAUUUUUACCUUUUUUAAGGUGCUUUUAUUUUAAGACCUUUCAUUGUAUUUUUCAGUUGUUUAUAUAUAAUAUUUAAGACAUUUUCUCUUAUUUUGUCCGUGUGCGUCCAGUCUGAGCUCGUUGUCGGUCCAGUUUCUGAUGCUGUGAAGGUUUUACCAGCUGCGUCUCUGGAAACAGGUGAUGGCGUUGAAAAAUGGCGCCACUUUUAACAUUUUCAAUACUUGGAGCUUCGACUCAUCCAGUAAAAAAUCCUUUUUUGAAUAUUUUUGGACUCAUUCUUCCUCUUGAUGUUUCUGCUGCUCGUUUUAGGGGCGCCACAGUGAAUCAUCCGCCUCCAUAAGCUCCUCUUUGGUCCUCCUCCUCCAUCAUCUGCUCCUCUGAUUCCUGAUCCAUCCUCUCCCAGGAAACAUCUUCAUCUCUGCUUCCUCCUCUGGCUCCUGGUUCUGAACCAACAAUACGGCUGCUCUCUCUACAGUCUUCUACACCUUUUGGUCACACAUCUCACCUGAACCCCCCCCACCUGCUGCUUCCACCUAUUGAUGACACAAACGUGGUGAAGGAUCCCUCUGCUGGCCAAAGCCGGGAAGUGCAGCACGAUGGCAGGAAGUGUCUCCAAUAGGUGAGUCAGGAGGACGGAUAUCAAACGUACCUGCGUUUCUUUGUGUUGAAAAAAAUACUCAAUAAAAAUGAUUUAUGUAAAGAUAAAAUAUGAUCAAUCUUUUGCCCUGAAAGAGAAUCAGAGUCUGGAUUGAUGUUAAAAUGACAUUCAAUGGGGAAAAAAUCAUGUAAAGUUUCUGUUAUGGAAUUUACACUCAGAACUGACUUUUAGAAAUCAACAACUUUGUUUCCUUAAAUCUUCAUCAUCUGUAAAAAAAAAAACAAUACUGUAAUUUUUAGAAUUUUUUAAACUAAAUUUCUUGUUUUAGACUUUUAUUUUUAAAAUAGAUUGUCAGAAACAGGAAACUAAAUAAAGUGUUGUAGAUCAUACACGAGAGGACUGUUUUGUUUUGUGUUCGUCCUCCUGUCAGUCACACCUGUCCAGGUGGAUCAUCCACACCUGUCUUCAUCUCAGGAUUGGAGUGUCUGGAGGAGAGUGAAGAUCAGAGCCUGUCAGGGUGGUGGAACACGGGAAGCUGACGAAGACGGUGGAAGCUGCACACACAGACGAUGAAGGAGGCGGUUUACCUUUGUGGAGCGUUUCCAGGACCUCCUGAGCAGCAUGGUCUGAAUUCAAACACACAACUUCAGUCACAGCUGAACAGAUUUACCACGUCUGUGGCUGAGCUGCAACACUAGAGGGCGCUCCAGGGCAGAAGC